rnacentral:misc_RNA from 1 species
CCUCGCCUCUCACCUCUCGCCUAACGCCAUAGGGUAACUUGUCGCCUUUCGCCUUGAUAAAAUUGUUUACGGUGGACUGGGACUCUCAAUGAAUAUAUGGACAACUUUGUUGCUCGUGCUGCCCAAAUUCCACGUAUUUCGAAUUCUUAUUGUUUGGGUUUCUUUCUCAAUGGCUUACGCGAGGAUAUUCGGGUUUAGCUUCAAUUUCACAAAAUCACAGACUUUAAUUGUUCCAUGAGAGCUUCAAGGGACAUCGAGUGUUAGCUAAUGAUCCUCCAUUGUUAUGAUUAUCGUCCAUCGUAUAGGGAUUCUGGGAAGAAGACGAAACCAACUUUUGGGUUGGGCCUCAAAACUAGUCUCAGUGGAAUGGGUUUCACUACUCCAUUUAGCUUCAAACUUGGGCCCGGUCCAACAGGAACCUCCAAAACGAAGAGUUCAUCAUCAUCUUGUCCACCGGAUAAAUCCACGCCUAUUGCCUCUCACCCCAUAGCACUUCCAGCUCCAUCGCCAAAACCACCAUCUUCUACCAAGCAGCACAGUCUUCGGCAAUAUUCUCAUCCAGAAUAUCAAGAGUUUCAUGCUAAGUGACUAUGCUUCCCUUGCAAACAGCCUUAUUCACCUCUCCAUAAAUGCCUUAUCAAGUCCCUUCGAGCUUUGAUCGUCGGUGAGAAUGAGUUACCGCCACCGGUUGUUGAUUUGGAUGUUCUUGAUUUGUUUGGUGCUCCUUUUGUGCCGCUGCAAUUGAGUGGAGGCCAUUUCUCCAAUUUGGAACUUCCUUUUUUCUCUGUUAGUAGGAUAUCUCAACCUCAUACAAUGAUAUUAAUGGGGACAAUUGUGAAUACUCCUGUAAUCAUGAUGGUGGAUACUGGAGCUAGUCACAAUUUUGUAUCUCAUAGCAUCAUUCAGCAGUUACAGCUGCCGGUAAGUCCAUUUCUGACUUCAUUUGGGAGAUGGACAUCAGGUUUCCUCUUCGGGGGUUUGUCGAAUGUUGGAAGUUCAAUUAUAGGGUUUUCAAUUACACACUGAUUGUUGAGUUUUCCCUUUAAGUGGUGUUGAUUUAAUUUUGGGAGUAGUUUGGCUUGAGACAAUGGGAGAGGUGCAGGUUAAUUGGAGCCAUAUGCUGAUGUCCUUCCAUUAUCAUGAUCAGCCAAUCUAUUUGCAAGGUGAUCCUUCUUUAUGCUGAUCCCCUAUUUUUGUACAUUCUUUUAACAAGUCUUCCGAUGUCAAUUUUUUAGCUCCUUUGUGGCAAGUGGAUUCUGGCGACAUGACUCGGUUACCAACUGAAGAGUUGUCCUCUUCUCAACAAUAUGAUCUAAGAGCUUCUGGUUUGACUAUUUUGAUGUUUUUUUUUUUACCCACAGUCAAUUCCUCCCCACUACUUAUCAAACCAUCGUAUCCCUCUCCUACCCAAAACUAUUCCUAUCAAUGUUAAGCCAUAGCAUUAUUGGCAUAUUCAGAAGGAUUAAAUUGAACGACUAGUGUCGUAAAUGCUAGCAACAGGCAUAAUUCGACCGAAUAGUAGUCCAUUCUCUAGUCCUAUUCUACUGGUACGCAAGAAAGACGAUAAUUGGAGGUUUUGUGUCAAUCAUCGCUAGCUCAAUAAAGCAACGAUUCACGACAAGUACCUUAUUCCAAUAGUUCAAAAAAUGCUAGACAAGUAACAUGGUGCUUGUUAUUUAUCUAAAUUGGACUUGAAAUCGAGGUAUCACCAGAUUCAGGACACCACAUCUGACAUUCAUAAGACGACUUUUCGGACCCACUCCGAUCAUUACGAAUUUGUAGUUAUGCCAUUUGGGCUAACCAAUGCCCCUGCAACAUUUCAGGCUGCUAUGAAUGACAUUUUUCAACCUCGUUUGCUUAGUUUUGUGCUUACUUUUUUUGACAUCUUAAUAUACAGCAGGGAUUGGGCUUCUCACUUACAGCAUCUCCGAAUAGUGUUACAGUUGUUGCGACAUCAUCACUUGUUUGCCAAUAAGAAGAAAUGUUCUCUUGGCAGAUUAUUAAUUGCCUACUUAGGCCACAUUAUCCCUGAAAAGGGAGUGGAGAUGGAUCCUUCUAAAAUUUCUAGUGUCCUUUGUAAACCAUUUCCAAAAUUUAUUACAGUUGUUUGGGGAUUCCUUGGUCUCACAGGCUAUUAUCGCCGCUUUAUUUCCAAUUAUGGUCAACAUGCUCAACCUCUUAGUGCCCUUUUUAAAAAAGACAAGGGAACUUUCCAUUGGGAUGAUUUGGCCUAAGUUGCUUUUGAGUCCCUUAAGUCAACUACCAUGUCCUCACCAAUUUUAGCGAUGUCAAAUUUUACUAAACUAUUUGUUGUGGAAUGUGACACCUCCGAGUAUGGCUUGAGUGCUAUAUUGAUGCAGGAUAACAUACCUAUUGCUUUUUACAAUAGGG